CUGUCAAUGAACCUGGCAGAGCAAUUGGCUUUGAAAGAAGACGUAGAGCUGCUACCCUCAUAUCUACCCCCAUACCUGCCACGAAUAAGAAAGUUCUUUUCAGAAUAUAUACUAGCGACAGUCACUAGUGUGUUUAUUUCUAUACAAUAAAUCAUUCAUUUCAUAUCCUUUUAAAGAAUGCAUCACUGCAGGAUAUUUAAAUAUCUUCAUGUUAUGGAUUGUUAGUUGUUGCAUCAUAAUGUCGGAAACAGCCGAAGUAGUAAAUUCUACUGAGGGUCAAGGGGAAAAGCCAAAAGAACAAAAAUAAACUUCAAUUCAAAAAAAUUGACCUUGUAAAUAUAUAAAGGAUUAAUUGGAAACACUAAUAAGAGAUGCAUGCAUGCAUGCAUGCAUGCACUGUAGCGUAUAUUUAUACGUCAAGGUGGAUAAACAAAGGUAAUCCAACUUUAGCAUGCUCGAGUGGGUCAGAUAUUGUGUUUAUCGACAUGUACAAUAUUCUUAAUUAAACAGCACAAAAAUCACACUUUUAGCUGUCGAAAUAUACCUUUUUUUGUAACAUUAUGAAGGAAAAUUACCAAAUACGAAUCGAAUAGGUAAGUCAGGUCGAAAUCGCAUUUUUCCACUGUUGAGAAUUGGAUGCAAAAAAACUAUUGAAAAUAAAUUCCAUUGCAAUCUAAAAUUCAUGAAUUCUAAUUUAAAAAGCUGUAACGUAAUUAUUGGAU